CAGUCGCCGCGGUAAUACGUAGGGUGCAAGCGUUAAUCGGAAUUACUGGGCGUAAAGCGUGCGCAGGCGGUUUGUUAAGACAGAUGUGAAAUCCCCGGGCUCAACCUGGGAACUGCAUUUGUGACUGGCAAGCUAGAGUGUGGCAGAGUGGGGUGGAAUUCCGCGUGUAGCAGUGAAAUGCGUAGAUAUGCGGAGGAACACCGAUGGCGGAGGCAGCCCCCUGGGCCAACACUGACGCUCAUGCACGAAAGCGUGGGGAGCAAACAGGAUUAGAUACCCCCGUAGUCCCUGUCUCUUAUAC
rnacentral:rRNA from 1 species